rnacentral:lncRNA from 1 species
UUUUUUUUUUCUUUCUUUUAGGGCUGCACUACUGGCAUAUGGAGGUUCCUAGGCUAGGGGCUGAAUCGGAGCUGUAGCCGCUGGCCCACACCACAGCCACAGCAAUGUGGGAUCCGAGCUGAGUCUGUAAUCUACACUGCAGCUCAUGGCAAAACCGGAUCCUUAACUCACUGAGCGAGGCCAGGGAUCCAACCCAUGCCUGCAUGGAUAUUGGUCAGGUUCGGUAACCACUGAGGCAUGAUGGGAACUCCUAAAAACCCUUAGCUAUUGAUUAUCAAAAGGGCCAACUUGACAUGAAGCAUUUAAAAUACAACUGAAUUCACAGAAAGUAUAGUCAUAUUUGGUAUCCAAUAUAUUUAUUUCUUCAGGGUUUUAAAGAAUUGUUACAGUAUAUAUGUUAAUUAUGGAAUUCCAAAGAAAGAGACAGGGUGCUAUUUCACAGUUUUCCCUAAGAAAAUAUGUAUUCAUAAUAUAUUUUUGAAUUGAUAAAUUAUAUGGCACAGAAUAUUUUAAAAUGCGUAAUGAAAAAGAGUUUGAUUUCUCAAGAAAAUACACUUACAUUAUCUUUUAGUUGUAUUGAUUUUCACAUAGUAACUAAGUGACCACACUGUGGUGAGGACAGUAUCUGUAAUAUCCUAGUAAGACUGUCAGACAAUGUUUACAGUCUUUGCAUAGUAAAGGUAAAGAUAAACAUAACCUAAUAUUUCUGAAAUUUCUGAAAAGAAUGUUUCCCAUGAAUUCAUAAAACACACUUCUCUCUUGUGUACUCCUUUUUAUAAUUCCUAUCUUUCUAUAAUUUUCUAAGAAUUUUUGUGGAAAAAAAAAGAAAAUAAAAAAUAUUUUAGAGCUCCCACUGUGGCACAGUGUAUUAAGAAUCCCACUGCAGCGGCUCAGGUUGCUGUGAGGUGCAGGUUUGAUCCAUGGCCUAGUGCAGUGGGUUAAAGGAUCCAGUGGUGCUACAGCUGUGGCUCAAAUUUAAUCCCUUGCCCAGGAAUUUCUAUAUGCCCUGGGUGCUGCCAUUAAAAAAAAAAAAAUUCAAAGAAGGAAAUGAGGCCAGUCUCAUAGUUACAGACUAGAAAAACCAGCACAAAGGAAAGAAAGUGCAUGAGAAAAGGAAGGGAAUUUGAAUGGAAAAAAAAAAUGAAAAAUAACUUACACGAAAAGGAAAAAAAGAAAAAAGAUAUAUACAAAUAUCCUUGGCAACCUGGUGGCAAUAAAAUAUAAGCAAUGAAAAAUAACUCUAGGGAGGUUAUGUGGAAAGUAAUUUAUUUUGAAAAGCCUGAAUUUUCAUUUAAUUGCUCUUCAUUAUGCCUCUAAAAUAUGAAACAGUACUUUUCUCUCUUCAUUUUCUAGAGAAAAAUGCAACCUUCCUUGCCAUGUCCAUGAAGGCUCUCUUGACCUGCUGAUUCCUUAGGGUAUAAAUAAAAGGGUUCAGCAUGGGGGCUACUGAGGUGUUUAGCACGGCUACUCCCUUGCUCAGAGACACCCUGUCUUUUGCUGAGGGUUUAAUAUACAUAAAAAUGCAGCUGCCAUAAGAGAUGGAGAUGACAAUCAUGUGGGAAGAACACGUGGAAAAGGCCUUUGUCCUCUGACUAGUAGAAGGAAUUCUCACAAUCGUUCUGAUGAUAUNNNNNNNNNNNNNNNNNNNNNNNNNNNNNNNNNNNNNNNNNNNNNNNNNNNNNNNNNNNNNNNNNNNNNNNNNNNNNNNNNNNNNNNNNNNNNNNNNNNNNNNNNNNNNNNNNNNNNNNNNNNNNNNNNNNNNNNNNNNNNNNNNNNNNNNNNNNNNNNNNNNNNNNCAACAUGAGUGAUGGGAAUAUGAUUAAGAAUGAAACUAGCCAUGAAGAGAAGACAAGGAGCACACAGACUCUUUGAUUCAUGAUGGCCAAGUAAUGCAGAGGUUUGCAGAUGGCGACAUAACGGUCAUAGGACAUGGCAGCCAAAAGGUAAAAUUCAGCGACUCCUAAAAGAAUUAAAAAAAAUAACUGAGCCAUGCAAUCAUUAAAGGAAAUGGUUUUAUCUCCUGAAAUAAUGGUGCUCAGGAACCUGGGUAUAGUGACAGUUGUGAAUGACACCUCUAGUAAGGAGAAGUUUCUGAGGAAGAAAUACAUGGGGGUCUGGAGGUGGGGAUCCAGCAGGGUCAGGGUGAUGAUAGUCAGGUUCCCAGUGAUGCUGAGCAGGUAGGGGAUGAGCAGAAAGACAGAGACCACAACCUGAAGCUGUGGGUCAUCUGACAGUCCCAGGAGGAUAAACUCUGUUACUACUGUGUAGUUUCUCAUUUUUGCUCUUCUCUUGUGUAACCUAUUAGAGGAGGCACAAAGAAAAGACUUAUAGAAAAGGAGGUUGUCCAUGGAUAACACUGAGAUUUGUCUUCAGAAGUAAACUUAUUAUGCCAAGCUAAAUUAAGAGAUUUAGAAACAAUUUAAUGGAAAUAGAUAACUUGUUUUAAAGUAAGUUUUUACUGUAUGUCAGGCUCUAUGUUUCACAUGUAAUUUUUUUUUUUAAUAAACCCCCUAUUUUACAGAUUGGAACCAGCCUAAAAGGAUUUUUAAGAGGCUUAUCCAAAUCACAUACCCACAAUGGGAAGAGCAGGGAUUUUUACUGAGGCUUUCUAAGUAUUUGAAAUACUGACUAGAAAUUCUACUGUUGACUAAAAAGCCUCCCCUAAGGAUAUCCUUCCCACUGGAAACGUCUUUAUCUUUUCUUCAACCCCAGUAAAGGCAUCUCAUUUCCUAGGUUCUGUCACCUAAUUUUUUGUAUUAUUAUUUGCAGGUAUAAUAUAGAAAAGCCAAAUAUGCCAAGAAAACAGUCACUCACAUGGGUAUGCCUUUAAUAUGAAAGUCACUGGAGUUAAAAUUUAACUAUGUGACAGGAAUUUUCAAGUAUCUGCUUUGACUCACAUUCACCUUCCCAACCCAGUCCUUCUCACCUGAAGCCACAGGCUUAUUACAAUGACAUCAUCAGGUAUUAGUCCAGAGUAGAGAGGAGGCAGAGUGCACACUGAGCAGACUGGAUCUGUGUCAUGGGCUAAGGAAACUAAAUUGUAUGGAUAUCUGAAACUAGACACUACUUUUCAGAGAACGUAUUUUCUUGAAAACGUCUACCAUCUAAAUGAUAUCAGUAAUUCCAGCACCCCUUUCUCUCCCGCUGUCUCUGUAUAUAUACAGGCUUUCUGUCUCAUGUUAUUUAUUUAUUUAUUUAUUUAUUUAUUUAUUGGCCACACCCAUGGCAUAUGGAAGUUCCCAGUCCAAGGACUGAAACUACACCAUAGCAGGAGCCCAAGCAGCUGCAGUGAAACACUGGAUCUUUGACCCUCUGCACUGCAAGAGAACUCCCUAAAUAUAUCUAUAUUUUCCCAUUUAUAUACAACAGCAUUCACUUAACAGAGGCUCUAUAUUGUCAGUGUAUUGGAGUAGGCCAUGAAAUAAUAAUGGAAGCCUUCUAUUUUAUCUUAGUGAAGCAGUAAGGCUGAUACCAUUAAAGGUGAAAGGUAGCGAAGAGUGUCCUCUGUAUAUGAAGCAGUUCAUUUUACUAUCACUCAUUCUGUGAAUUCUCAUUAACAAGUACAGCUUACAUUACAGUGUCAGGAGAGAAGCUUUUGCGAUAGAAUAUUUAAUUUCAAGAUAUAGAUUUGAUGAUUUGUAGUGUGCAAUGCAUCAUAAUACUCUGAAAUUUCUCGUGAUUUUUUUUUUCCCCUUAAAAUCCUGAGCCCUUUUUUUCACUCACUUCACUUAAUAGCAAAAAGUGUUCCUCCUGUCAACUUAAGGAAAAUUCUAGCUAAGACAUAUGGUGGACAAUGCUAACGGGAAAGCAUGUGAAAUUCACAAGAAAAUGAACAUUUUCUUUCUUUUGCUAUUCCUCAGGGACUAGAGAAGUCUUAAGAACACUUACAAGAAAAACAGACAUCACAAUUACAUACCCCGUAAACAAAUUAUGGAAAUUCAAGUAUAUAAUGGACAUUUAUAAACAUGAAAGUCAUUGUUCUCAAAUGAAAAUCCUCUGUGACCAACAGCUGUGGUUGACUCUGUUCUUUAAUCAUUUCUGGGAUGUGAUCUGUCAGCCACUCCUGGGGUGUCUGGGUGAAGUAAUGAAGAACACAGCCAAGUCUCUAAGGCAUCAUUUCAGAUUUUCCUUUCUACCUACCCAUCCACAUUGUUUUCCUCGUCUAUGGAACUUCUGAUCCCAAGCUUUAUAUUCCUUCCUGUAUCUUUCUUCUUAAAGAAUUUGAAUGUCUUGGAUAUCUCAUUGUUGAUUCAGGCUUGUAGCUCACUGAAAGGGAGACUUCACCUACUCAAUAAGCAAAUCCUUGCCAUUGUGUAAAAUAAAACAACUGGAAAUGAUUUUCAGGACAUUUCCUCCAUUCCACAGUCAAUUGUAAGGAUGUCCUCUUACACAAAAGAACAAUGGUAUCCCCCACAUUGUCUAAUUUAAAGAAACAACAUUAUUUAAAUGAUUACUAAAGAUUAGGAGAUUGUUUUUCCUAAUUUUAUUUAAAUUAUGAGAAGUGGGAGGCUCCCUAAAUUCCAUGGUAUAAUUGGAAACUUAAAUUAUCUUCCCACAUUCUCUAUGUGUACUGAACUCCCUUUUCUUAUAUUAAGACCCUAAGAAGUCAUAAGAAAUGCUGUGAACAUGUAUAUCCUCAAGGAAAUUUGCACCCUCAAUAUUAGCUCAAGGUUUUCCGAGUCUCUGUCUUUGUCUCUGACAUGACGUUCUUUUGCUUGGUGUUAGGUUUUUAUGCUGGGUUAAUUUGUCACAGAAGAGAACAGAUUAUUGGUUUAUUUCAGGUUAUUUGCAGAUUAUUACCUUAAGACUGCCUCUUCAAAACACAUUACAAGCAGCCAGAAGAAGUCCUAGGAGCAGAAGUCUCCAUUUAUGCAACAAGUAUAAAAAGUACAGAGGGUUCUCUUUAAAAUCUGAGAAACAUAGCAUUUUUAUUAAAAAAUCAUCCCCCCCAAAAAAAGACUGCCUCAAAUUACAAUUAAUUCUCCUAAAAUUAGUUCAGAAUUCUAUUUCUCUGAGUCCUCUGGGGAAAAAAAAAAAUGACCUUGCUUUUUCCUCAUGGAAAAGGGGAGUCAGAUCAAAUCAGUCAGAUCAAAACAGUCUGCAUAGGAGUAAUGAAGGAAAACCUGAAAUCUUCUAAAUCAUUUGCAAAAUCUGUGGGUUUUCAUAGAGAAGUUCUAUUUCCUGAUUGUCUCAGUUUAACUAGUAUCUACAUUUGAAGAUAAUUUUCAACUUAAAAAGGAGAAAUUCUUAUAAAAAUACCGCAUCAGGAUUUAAUUUUAACUUAUAAUGUAUGGGGUUGUUGGAGAAACCGCUAGGCUUUCCAUUACAACAGGAAUGGAUUAAAAAUACAACUCUGCGUUUUAGGGGUUUUUUUUGUUUUGUUUUGUUUUGUUUUGUUUUUGCACUGUGAAAAUAAGAAUAAUUAGUUCAUGG